GCGGAAACGCAUGCUAAUACCGCAUACGCCCUGAGGGGGAAAGGAGGGGACUUUUCGGAGCCUUCCGCUAUUAGAUGAGCCUGCGUGAGAUUAGCUAGUUGGUAGGGUAAAGGCCUACCAAGGCGACGAUCUCUAACUGGUCUGAGAGGAUGACCAGUCACACUGGGACUGAGACACGGGCCAGACUCCUACGGGAGGCAGCAGUGGGGAAUAUUGGACAAUGGGCGGAAGCCUGAUCCAGCCAUGCCGCGUGUGUGAAGAAGGCCUUAGGGUUGUAAAGCACUUUCAGGGGUGAGGAAGGGUGACUGGCUAAUAUCCAGUUAUCUUGACGUUAGCCCCAGAAGAAGCACCGGCUAACUCUGUGCCAGCAGCCGCGGUAAUACAGAGGGUGCAAGCGUUAAUCGGAAUUACUGGGCGUAAAGCGCGCGUAGGUGUUUUGGUUAAGUCGGAUGUGAAAUCCCAGGGCUCAACCUUUGGAAUGGCACCCGAUACUGGCAGGCUAGAGUACGGUAGAGGGGUGUGGAAUUUCCUGUGUAGCGGUGAAAUGCGUAGAUAUAAGGAAGGAACAUCAGUGGGCGAAGGCGACACCCUGGACUGAUACUGACACUGAGGUGCGAAAGCGUGGGGGAGCAAACAGGAUUAGAUACCCUGGUUGUAAUGACUUAGUGGCGCAGCUAACGCAAUAAGUAGACCGCCUGGGGAGUACGGCGCAAGGUUAAAACUCAAAUGAAUUGACGGGGCCCGCACAAGCGGGGAGCAUGUGGUUUAAUUCGAAGCAACGCGAGAAUCUUACUACUCUUGACAUCCAGUGAACUUAGCAGAGAUGCUUUGUGCUUCGGGAACACUGAGACAGUGCUGCAUGCUGUCGUCAGCUCGUGUUGUGAAUGUUUGGGUUAAGUCCGUAACGAGGCCACCCUUAUUCUUAUUUGCAGCACUUCGGUGGAACUUAAGAGACGUGCGGUGACAAUACAGGAGGAGAGAAGGGGACGACGAUCAAAUCAUCUAUGGCUUUUCAAUAUAGGGCUACCACCGCUUCAAUUGCGCUCAAGGUGGAACUUCGGAGGUAAGAAUAC
rnacentral:rRNA from 1 species